rnacentral:rRNA from 1 species
GAUGAACGCUGGCGGCGUGCUUAACACAUGCAAGUCGAACGGGAUCCAAGGGGUGCUUGCACUUUUUGGUGAGAGUGGCGAACGGGUGAGUAACACGUGAGUAACCUGUCCUUUUCUUUGGGAUAAGCAUUCGAAAGGGUGUUUAAUACCUUAUGUUCUGUCUGCCUCGCAUGGGGUGGGUGGGAAAGGCUUUGGCCGGAUUUGGGUGGGCUCACGGUCUAUCAGCUUGUUGGUGGGGUGAUGGCUUACCAAGGCUUUGACGGGUAGCCGGCCUGAGAGGGUGGUCGGUCACAUUGGGACUGAGAUACGGCCCAGACUCCUGCGGGAGGCAGCAGUGGGGGAAAUUGCACAAUGGGCGAAAGCCUGAUGCAGCGACGCCGCGUGGGGGAUGAAGGCCUUCGGGUUGUAAACUUCUUUUGCUCUGAACAAGGCAUGCCAGUGGGUGUGUUGAGUGUAGGGGUUGAUUAGCGCCGGCUAACUACGUG